CCGUGUGGCGUCCGCCGCACGGGAACUGACACCGGUACCUGAUACGGCCGGUGCAG
rfam:Streptomyces sp. Ncost-T10-10d genome assembly, contig: Ga0115254_1166